AGACAGAGGUGGCACUGAGUGGAGAUCACACCACUGCACUCCAGCCUAGGUAACGGCAUGAGACUCUGGAAAAGAAAAAAAAGGGAUUAAAAGCAUUCAGCAUGGUGUCUUCAGGGAUCUGCAGUGGGUGAUGAGAGCCAGCACAUGGCAGCAAAUCCUGCAUAUCUUCUGGGAACUACAGAAAAUAGCUGGAAGACCUUGACGAGGGUUGGAGGUCUUGUAAGGUCAGAGGAGCAAUGUGUGCCCAACACUGAUCACUGAAUGGAACAAGAGAGGAGACAGGAAAGAGAAAGGCGCUGUGGCUUACAGGAGCCACCAGGCUCUCAUUCGGCUGUCCUCCCCGCUUCCACUUUCUCACCUGCCUUUUUCUCCUCAUCAUAUGCUCUGCAGUCUGAGCUUCCAUCCCAAUUGGAGGAGUAAACCUGCCACCUUGGCUCAAACAUAUUUUUCUUUAACCAUGUUCUCUCUGCCUGGAGCAUCUCCUCCCUUCAUGCAUUGUGUGUGCAGAUGCCACUGCUUCUGGAAUUGUUUCUGAGCCUGACUCAACCCUGACUGAGGUCAGUGCUCCUCUGCCACCGUGACACUCUGUGGCUACUGCUGGUUGGAUGACCUGCUUCCUCCCCUAGGCCCUAAAUGAAAUUCUUUGCUGGCUGGGACAAACCAUGCCUGUUCACCUUUUUAUCUCAAAGUCUAGUGGAGUGCCCAACAAGAAUUCAAGAAAUAUUUAAUGGGUAGAAGAAUGAAUGGAUGAAUGAACUGGUGAAUACAGACCAUGGAGGGGCCUGGUUCUGUGGGCAAGGAAGGAUGGCAUGGCUAGCACUGAACUACCAAAAGUGCUGGGCCUCAUGCAUGCAGGUGCCUCUGCAGGGGCAUGGAAAAGCUGGCACUGGGAGUACCGAAGAAGCCGGAGGCUGAGUCAAGCAUCUGUGGCUGCUGGAGCAUUGCCAGAAGGGACUAGAAACACAAGGGACGUCCCUUCUCUCCUCUUCCCACCUUCCAACCCCUCUGGUGCCUCUCAUUAGCAGAACCUAAUAGAGGGCCAGCUGGCAAGCUAGUCUAGGCCCAACAUUGCAGAGUAUAGCAGGACUUGGAGCUCAGAGAAAGUAGGCAAAUAACUGGUCUUAUCUAUCCUCUUGGUUAGUCAGCAUCAGUCCCCAUCGUUCUAACCAAUUGUAAGAGCUCUGUGCUCUGCCUAAUAAAAUGCAAUUAUCCUUCAUACAAAUGAAGACUGUAUUGCCUUCUACCCCAAAGAAAUUUCCUGUAACAAUCAUAUGCAUAUCUGCAUAUCUAUCUGAAUACUCUGUAAACUAAAGAUGAAGUUAUAAACUUAAUCACUAACAGUAGCUUAAGUAAAAUAAUAGGAGAAAGAAGGAAGGGGAAGAAACAUGAAUUAACAUAAGCUAUAUAUAUAUAUAUACACACAAACACAAAUUAAGCAAAGGUAGACAUUCAUAACAGUCACAUUUCUGUAACUAUUCAUGAGGUCAUCACUUCCUUGUGAUGAGGUCAUGAGGUCAUAUCAAUUCCUCUUCCACUGUCUAUUUGUCUAUUUGAUGUUGCAUUCAUUGUAAGCUAGCAAUUCAGCUUGUAGAGUCUCUCUCUCUCUUGUUUUUUAAGGUACAGGCUUUUGCUCUGUUGCCCAGGUGCACACACUACAUCCAGCUGAUAGCUUCUUUUAAAUUCUGUUUUUUAGAGAUGGAGUCUCCCUGUGUUUCCCAGGGUGAUCUCAAACUCCAGGGCUCAAGCUGUCCUCUACCUCAGCUUUCCAAAGUGCUAGGAUUACAGGUGUGAGCCACUGCACCCGGUCGAGACUUCUUAUCUGAAAGCCCUCAUUUUUGAAGGGGCCUGAAUUUCCAGAGGUCUUGCAUUUAUCGAGUUGAUAUGGUUUUCCAAAAUGUUGCACUGAGGAGUACUAAGAGACACCCUUAGAAGACCACAGGCUCUGUAACUAGUCUUCUCUGUCUUCUUGAGUGGCAGAACCCAUUUUUAAAAAUUCCUUUUUGGCCUUUUGGUUUAGUAGCAUUAAAAGCUUCAAAUGGUCAUCUAAGCUUGAGUGGAAUACUUUCUCUUUGUGAACGAAGAUUCCUAAAUCAACAGAGCGCAAAGGUGUAGAGACAGGUAACGAACAUUAUCUCAGUGGAUUGCUAGUGUAGCUGUAGGAGAAUCCAUCCCCAAGUUCUACCCCUUGAUUCUGACUGUAGUAUAAAUUGCACCAUGCAUUGAUCACUGGUUCAAAGCAUGUAUUUCACCCUAUUGGAUAUAACCCCAACCUUUCAGGGUUUUCUCUUCCAACUGACCUUUAACUGGCCAUUCUACCAUUUGAUCACAGUAGCUGCUUCUGGGAGAUGUGGCACAUGGGCUCAUUGCUAUACUUCUUUUGCCAUGGAAUAAAUUCCUUGUUUAGAAGCAAAUAUUGUCUGGGAUGCCAUAAUGAUGAAUAAGAUGUAACAUAAGUCCAAGGAUAAUGAGAUAGCGGAAACAUAACAGGAAAGAGAUAUAUGUACUCUAAUACAUAUACUUUAUAAUGAGCACACGUGGCUGCCCCUUAUGAUGAAGAGUUUCAAUAUGAGUAAUCAGCUACCAGGUGGUUCUCUGGUUUCCUGGAAAAAUGAUAAGAUAUGAAUGCUCCCUUUUUGGACUCUGCUCUUGGCAAGUUAGACACUCAGCAGUAGCAAUUGCCAGUUCAGUCUUGGAAAGUGUUACUCCCUGCUGGUAAGUUCCUCCACACACUCUGUGCCUGCCACUCUGGACCAUGAGAUGGCUGGGGAAGGUGACUUCCUGCCACAGAACAUGUCACCGGGGUAUCUGAAUAUUGAGAGUCUCUUCUGUAGCAGAUAUCCCCUGAUGACCCCACGAGACCCUCAUUUCAUGAAAUCAUAAAUAAAGUAGCAAUUGGAGCACCAGCAUACUAUAAAAACUCAGCAGUGGCUGCCUCUCUAGGCUGGGGUGAUAGUGGGAGAUGUUGCCGUUGUGAUGAGGAUGAAGGGAUCCUGCAGUGGCAGAGCAAAAGCACUAGCAUUUAAUUGCCAGAAAAAAGGUAUCAUCAAGGUAAAAGUAGUUAAUAGCAACAGGGAUAUAUUGAUACUCAGGAUACUUAGAUCUACAAGGUCUUUGGUGGUGGCUAGUCAAUCACCUGUCCAUAUAAAUGAAAGAGAUUGGCAGCCUGCCAGAGUAUUACUUGAUCUUUAUAACUGCAAAAAUUCCUAGUCUAGUGGAUAGAAAUCUGACUCAAGUUGUCACAAUAGGGAGUCAUAGCCUCUCACCUGGUUCUGUGCUCUAAGCCCAUCCAAAGAUACUGAACUUUUUUUCCAUUCUGUUCUUUGUUGCAUCCUUAGUCGAUAGCAGAGGCUCAUAAGUGUGUUUUGAAUGAAUGGAUACAUGAAUGAAUGAAUGGAUAUAAAAGGAUAGAUGUAAGAAAAAAAUGAGAAUGAAAAACUAAGAGGAUUUUUUUGAUUCAAUUUGAAGAAUGGAUUGAAGCCUUGACCUGAAGCUUUGCUUGCUGAGGAAUAUGGUGAUAGUAUUAACAGAAAUGGGAAAUUCAGCAAAAGGAACUUACUGGAGAUAACAGAGAGUAAAAAUAUGAGAACUUCAACUUUUAAAGGUGAAUCUGAGAAUCAAUGUAGUCUUUAGUAAAGACUUCAGAGGUCAGACACAGAGUCAGCUUUUAACUUAUUAUUUGGUCAAAGCCACCCAUUUGGGUGGGGAUCGUGGCCCCAUCAUGACAUGUGCUAGAGACCGUCCGUACGAUAGGCUCACCCCACCCCAGAUUCCCACCCUGCUCCAUGCUCAUUACCUUCUGAAUCUGCGCAGGUGUCUGAGUGGAGCAGUCAGACAGAAAUGUUCACACAGGGAACUCUUUAUUACCUCUGACAGACGCAUUUUAGCCCCAUCACUUCCAAACACAACUCCUGGAAGGCUGCCCAGAAUUGUUGCCAGGUAUCAUUGCCAUGGAAACCACAGACCACCCCACGAGAGUUAGAGACACAAAAGCAAAAGCAGUGUAAGAACAGAUUUUUUGAGGCUCUAGUCCCUCUGAUUUCACACCUGACGGGACUGUAUGUGUGUUCCCCUGGGAGACACAGGAGUAAAGCAUAUAGGGAGAAUUGGGUUAUUAGUGGUUUUCAGGAACAGACUAUCCAAGGAAAAUACCUUUCAGAGAAGCAAGGGCACAAGUUACUCUCCAAAGCAUAAUAAUGUUUUUCUUAUUUUCCUCUAAAUAUAGAGCUAUCAUAGCUGGCACUUCUUCUGGCAAAGAAUGAAGCAAUAUAUAUCCCUUGGGUUUUUGACAUUGUAAACAUAACUUUAGUAGAAAUGGUUUUUCUAUUCUAGCCAUUAACUCAACCAUACCAAAAUUACCUUGGCUCCCUUAAACUGAGGGUGGAGGGUGGCACUGAUAACGGGCAUUAUCUAGCACAAGGAUUUUUUGUUUCUCAGCUUGAAGCCAAUGGAGGUAUUAUUAUUGCUUUGUCCUCUUGAGCUGGGCAGUGUAUUCAUAUGUUAGCACUCAUGGAGCCGUACACCAAGGAUGUGCAUAUGACUGUAUGUAAGUUGUAGCUUGAUGAAAUAUUGUCAGCACAAAAAAAUGGAAAACAAAGUAUUUAAUCGUUCAAAGCAAAAAUUUUGGUUGCUGAUUUUUUAAAAGGUGAGUUUAUGUGGCUUCCUAGAAUCAUGCAACUUUAAUUUUGAAAUGUCAACUGCAGUAUUAGAAAUAUUUUCUCAGAAUUACUAAGGACAUUCAUUGUGCUAAGGGCUACACAAAUAUUUAUUGAGCAGUUACUUUGGGCUGGGGUUUAAAUGUCUUUGCUUUUGGUCUAUCAAUUCCUCCUGCUUUUUGUGUGCCUAGCCAGGUAUGCCUCUCCCACCCCAACCAAGUGUAUCUGAAUGUGGUCUGUACACAUGACUGCUCAUCCAGCCACUGUUCCUUCCCUGAUGACUGGAGGGAAACUCUCAUGAUUCAACGGUAAAGUUCUAGAUGAAAUUCUGAGGCUGCUAGUCAUGUCAGUCAAUCUCUUGCUCAUUCAUCAGUUUUCCUCCUUCCCUGGCAACUAUCCCUGUGAUUAGCAUGACAAUUGAAGCUACAAACUCCUGUUCAUUUCUUCCCUUUCCCUGACCCCAUUCUAAAUCUCAUUUUGCUCUCAUCUGCAUCUCUACUAUCUGGUCAAGAGAUAGCACCCAAUAUGUAGUAAGGGGUCAUUAAUUUUUGUGUAUUAUCUUCACUUGCUUCCAUUGUUCUUCCUCUUCCCUUUACAUCCUUGUCUUAACUGAAAGUUGGCUGUAUAUGUUUCUCAAUAUCAUAAAAUUGAAGAUGAAUAUCAUUAAAAAAUGUUGAGAAACUGUAAUAUGUUAUCCACUAUGCUAAAGAUACAACUCUAACAGCUCCUUCCCAGGCAGCUUAUGUAUGUUCUAAUGAGUGAAAUUCAGAUAAAAAAGCAAAUACAAUAACUUAAAGUCAUAAUAAAAGUAUGUAAGGAAACAAACAAGAAGCUAAGACAAACAAAUUUUAGGGUGAUUGCAGAAGUACUUUUAAAAAUAAAAUUUCAGCUGAGACAUGAGGCAUGAGAAAGAGUUUGUCCGUUUAAAGAGGGAGGAAAGAGCAUUCCAGAAAGAAAUAAAAUAUGUAAGAGUCCGGAGGUGAGAGGUAGUGUGGGUCUCUUCUAGAAACUGCAUGACCACUGUUGUGGCUGGAGCUUGGCGAGUGUGGAGAAAGUGGUUUUGAGAUGUAAGUCAGAGAGAAGAGGAGAGACAGAAUCGUGCAUUUGGAAUAGGAAUCCAUGGAAGAAUUCAGAGAGAGACUUAUGUGUUCAUCCUGGCAGGCAAGUGAAGAAUGAGACAGGUAAGAGAGGAAGCAAAGGAUACAAGUGAGGAAAAUGCUGUUGUUGCCUUGGACGGAGAUGACAGGCUGUAGUAAGGGAGUUGCAGUAGAGGUGAGCAGAGAACACAGACUUCAGAUACAUUCAUAUUAUAAAUUGAGGAGACUGGAUGGCAGGAGUGAAGCAAAUGAAAAACAGAAUGUUCCCUAUGUUUCCAACUUGAAUUGAGUUGGAAAUAGUACUAGUUACUGAGGAGAGGAAGAUAGAGGAAGGGGAAGGGCAGUUUGGGGGACUUUUUUAGAAGUCCGUGAGACAUCUGGGAGGCAAGGUAUCAAUGAGGCAAUAAAAGGGAAAUUCUAGAGUUCAAAGAAAUGAUCUAAGCCGGGGAUAUAAAUGCAGGACUCAUCAGUAUACAGAUGGUUUAUGCAUUGUUGCGAAAUGAUCAAGUCAUAUAACAUUUCAGCCUAGAGAGAAGUUUCCAUUGGCUUCAUGACAUGAAGAUCUCUGAUGACCUUGACAAAGGGGGUUUCAGUGGGCCUGGGACAGGGGUUGGUGCCUGAUGGCUUGGAGAGUGCAUGGGAGAUGAAGUAGAGAAAGCAUCAGGAGACAGUUUUUUUCUCCCCAAAAUUUGACUAUGAAGUGGAGAAAUGUGUCGCUGGAUGGCAAUGGAUAUGGGAAUGUGUGUGUGUGUGUGUUUAUGUGUGGGUGUGUGUGCUACAUAUUCUUUUUACAAAUGAGUGAUGCAUGUACUAAUAUAGAUUAGGGAAAGUUAAUGAUGGGGGAAAUGGAAGAAGCCAAGUUUUUGAGGGAUGUGUGCAAUUGCCCUUUAACAGAAGUGGGGAUACUUCCCCCAUUGCAAUGGGAGAAAGAGGAUGAGUACACGUGUUAUUAAGUUAGUAGUUUCGGGGUUGGCAGAUGUGAGUGUUCAGAUGUGAUGUCUUCUUUUUCCUUAGAGUAUAAGCAAGGUCAUGAGCUGUGAGUGACUGUCAAAUUGGGCUAUGACAAAUUUGAAGAGAGUGAGCGAGAUAUAAAAUAUUGUGUAGUGAAGGGCAAUGUGAGUCUACUAAAGAUACGUGGUUGGUUUUUGUUUGCCUGGUUUUUUGUUUGUUUUUGGCAGUACUGACCAGUUAACUACCUUUGUGGUUUUCUCCAUUAACAUUUGGCUUCUUGGCUAUAGGCACGGAAAGGUGGAAUGUAGGAUUUAUUCAGAAGUAGGAUGUGGCAGAUGACUACAAAGUUAUCAGAGGACAUGGUGAGAUGUUUGGAAGAAUCCUAGAGGUAGAGGCUCCUGGAGUCUUGGUUUUCCCAGGCCUGAAGUUGGCAACAGAGUCCUAGCCUUGGCACCAGAGAUUUUCUAGGGUCAGGAGGAAGGACUUGCAUUUUCCUACCUUCUCUUAUGUUUUCAGACCUUUGUUCUGCAGCUUUCCUGGCAGUUCUGAAACUGUUUAAAUUUGAAUUCCUUUACUCAUACAGAACUUCAUCUGUAUGCCUCCCAACCUUGCCAUCCAUUCUCUGAGGAUUGCAGUGCUUUUCCUGCAGUCUGCCACUUCUCUCCAGCCCAUGUCAUUACCCUGGUUGACUUCAGUGUCCUUUUUGAUGACCUAUUUAACAACUGAAUCUCUCAGUUCCUUAAAAUUAUUUCAUCUAAGAACUUUCUGGGUUUUUUUUUACAUUAAUGGAUUAAUUUAAUUUAAUACCUGGAGACUUGUCACAUAUAAAAUGACUCAAUCUUUGAAAUCAUGAAUUUUGAAAUCCUUUUUCUGCUUUCUUUUUCUUUUUGCAACCCAUUCUUUAGCCUCAUUGGACAUCUGUUCUUGUGAGUCCUUGCUAUUCCUUUAGAUUCUUUCUUUCUUCCCAUCUGGAUUUUUGAAAAAUGACCCACCCAACACGCUCACCAGUGUUCUUAGUUCCAAUAACCUGGUGAUUUCCAGUGGCACCUUUCUCAUCCUGCACUCAGGAAAAACCUGCCAUUCGUUGGCUGGUUUGUUAUGCUUUCUUGCUCAGGGCUACAGAACGUGUUAGAGGAAAAUCAUGUAACAGUGGUAAUUGCUUGAAUUUCAGACAUGGUUUCCACACUCAGCUGGCUCCAUGAUGCUGCCCUCCUCUCCAUUCUCUCUGUCCCUCUGCUUAUUCCUCUUGUCUAGACCAUUACAACAGUCUCUUCACUAUUCUCCUUUAGAGUCUCUAUUUCUGAUGUUAUGUUAUUUUCUUUUUCUGGGGAUUCUUUUCCAAAUUGCAGAUUAGAUCACUCAUUUCCCUGCUUAAAAAAUCCUGAGAGCCAACUAAGAUUUAGACCAUUAGGUAGAAGCUCUUUAGGGUUUCAUUCAGGAAUCGGGGGCCUUCAUGAUUUGCAUCUAACCUACUUGUCUAGUCUGAUCUCUCCUCAUUUCUAACCACCCCCAUUCCCCACUCCCAUACACUACACCAGACCAUUCUGUAUUCACCCUCACACUGUUUCUCCUGCCUGGAGCGAAAGCUUCUUUCUUCUCAUCUGUGGAACUCUUGUUUUAAGCUCUCAAUCAAAUGCCGUCUCACCUGGGGAGUCAUCUGCACUUCUCAGUGUGAGACAAAGUAGCAUAGGUAAGAAGACAUAUUUGCUCAUUUAUGCUUGCUGGCAUGAUUUCACAAAGGCUCUAACUCUGUGACCACAUGCAGUUCUCUGGAGUGAUACUUUGUAGAGCAAACAGGAUAGAGGACACAGUGCCCCACAUCUCUUGCCUGAGUUACUAUAUUUCUUAAAAGAUAAAUGGCCCUAGUUCUUGCCUUUUCCUACACAUAAGAUAAUGUCUGACAAGGUUAGUGAUUAUGCCUCUAUAAUCUAUAACGAUAUACUCUUACACCCAAAUAUUUAUAUCUAUAACCAGAUAUAAUCUUAUAUACCCUUGAUGUGAUUCCUCUUUACUAUAACUUCUGAACAAGUUUGAUGUGAUUUUACACAUACUAAACCUUCAUUAUCUGUAUAGCCCACCGCUAAAAUACUGGGCUGGUGCAAUCUGAUAGAACCUCUGAUAGAACCUCUCUAAAGGGCUGCUUCUGGGCUAUAGGCCUCAGUCUAUAGUCCUUUGCAGGACUUUUAAAUAAAAUUAACUUUAAAUCUUUAAAAGCCUGAU